CCUACGGGAGGCAGCAGUGAGGAAUAUUGGUCAAUGGGCGCGAGCCUGAACCAGCCAAGUCGCGUGUGGGAGGACGGCCCUACGGGUUGUAAACACCUUUUGCCGGGGAGCAACGGGCGUCGCGUGUGGCGCCACUGAUAGUACCCGCAGACAGAGCAUCGGCAAACUCAGUGCCAGCCGGCGCGCUAAUACGGAGGAUGCGAGCGUAAUCCGGAUUUAUUGGGUUAAAGGGGUGCGUAGGCGGGGAGUUAAGUCAGUGUUCAAAUCGAGGGGCUCAACCCCUUCCCGCCAUUGAAACUGGCGUUCUUGAGUGGAAGAGAGGUAGGCAGAAUGCGUGGUGUAGCGGUGAAAUGCAUAGAGAUCACGCAGAACCCCGAUUGCGAAGGCAGCAUGCUGG
rnacentral:rRNA from 1 species